UACGAAGGGGGCUAGCGUUGCUCGGAAUCACUGGGCGUAAAGGGCGCGUAGGCGGAUCUUUAAGUCGGGGGUGAAAGCCCAGGGCUCAACCCUGGAAUUGCCUUCGAUACUGAAGAUCUCGAGACCGGAAGAGGUAAGUGGAACUGCGAGUGUAGAGGUGAAAUUCGUAGAUAUUCGCAAGAACACCAGUGGCGAAGGCGGCUCACUGGCCCGAUACUGACGCUGAGGCACGAAAGCGUGGGGAGCAAACAGG
rnacentral:rRNA from 1 species